rnacentral:rRNA from 1 species
GAUGAACGCUGGCGGCGUGCCUAAUACAUGCAAGUCGAGCGAACAGACGAGGAGCUUGCUCCUUUGACGUUAGCGGCGGACGGGUGAGUAACACGUGGGUAACCUACCUAUAAGACUGGGAUAACUUCGGGAAACCGGAGCUAAUACCGGAUAAUAUUUCGAACCGCAUGGUUCGAUAGUGAAAGAUGGCUCUGCUAUCACUUAUAGAUGGACCUGCGCCGUAUUAGCUAGUUGGUAAGGUAACGGCUUACCAAGGCAACGAUACGUAGCCGACCUGAGAGGGUGAUCGGCCACACUGGAACUGAGACACGGUCCAGACUCCUACGGGAGGCAGCAGUAGGGAAUCUUCCGCAAUGGGCGAAAGCCUGACGGAGCAACGCCGCGUGAGUGAUGAAGGUCUUCGGAUCGUAAAACUCUGUUAUUAGGGAAGAACAAACGUGUAAGUAACUGUGCACGUCUUGACGGUACCUAAUCAGAAAGCCACGGCUAACUACGUGCCAGCAGCCGCAGUAACAC